rnacentral:rRNA from 1 species
AUGGUCCUUGACGAUGAUGAGCUAGGAGACUGCUGCAGCAUCCCUGACAGGCCUGUAGAACCUAGACGGCCAAGUUAUGCCUCCCCUCUUUCCUUCCCCUCCUGUCAUGUCCAUAGCUUACUUAUCAUGCUGUCCAGAUUAGAUAAAUUUCUACAAACGUUGCCCUCGGAUUCGAGCUCAUUGGUCGCCGAUGGACCCCGGGAUGAAGGCGAUCAAGAGGCUGAUUGGGCUGCCUGGAGACACAUGAUAUCCGGAAGAUACCGGAUGGACACUGCUGGGUCGAAGAGGACAAUGGCAGCUUUGGUUGGAUCUCAAGAGCAUAUGGCAAUAUCUCAGUCUAAGCAUGGUUUGUUUGUUCCAGUAGUUAGGGAUGCAGAUAAAAAAGGCUUGGCUACUAUUGCCGGUGAGGUGAAGCAGUUGGCUCUAAGGGUAAAGGAUAAAAGUCUAAAACCAGAAGAUUAUGAGCCAUUGAGCCGUGGCUAUCUUGGCAUUGUCAUCACGGUACGAACACCUGGAACAGAGGGUGAUGUGACCAGCAGCAACGUAGUCGUCAUGCAGGGAGCCAAGGACAUGUGGCUGUUGGUGAAGGGCCUGAUUAGGAUGCCUACCAAGUUGCUCAACACCACCACCAGGAAGUUUCCCUAUGGUGCAAGUUUUGAGAUGCGGGUGCCCAAGAGGGUCAUUGACCUCAUCUGCUCCCUGAAUGUCGUCAAGCAUAUCACCAUCGAGAGGUUGAGUUGGCUCUACGAGCAAGGGAACAGAUUGGGCUCUUUGGCUUGGGUAAUUGUGUCAUCAAUGGAUUGGCAUGAUGCUAUGGGCAUCAUCACCCUGCUUGUUAUCAACCAGUACAGGCCACUUUCUUCCUCUGUCGUGCCACCGCAACCGGGCUGCUAG